CCUUCACUCCAAAGCAUAAACCAUGAGGGUAAAAUUGACAAUUACUUCAAAUCCUCUCUUUAAAAGAGCAGAAAGGGAGCAAAUUUAGGGUUCUAAGACUUCUAACGAUUGACUGAGGCAGGAAGAGGCUUGGGAGUUUCCCGAGGACCGUUUUGCCCCUCUUCCUUGAUCACCACCGUAUACGGCGGUCAUCUUUAGCCGAUGAUUUCUCCGACCACCGUUAAAACGGCCCUCAAAGCGGGAAAUAUAUCUGGUAUUUCUUCAUUAUUACUCCGUUUUUAAAUACUACUCCAUACUACGUACUACAAGUAUAUACCUCUUCUUCUUCUUCUUCUUCCCCUUUUCACCCUCAAAAAAAAAAAAAAUGAAGGACCCUUUGAGGCAGUGAUGAAAUUGAGUCGUUUAGAGUAAUCAAAUUUCAAUUUGGGUUUCUGGGUUUUUCUGGGAAAUUGAUUUUCUUUUCCAAUUGGUUUGGCAGCAACUUUAGGGUUUUGUUUGCCGCCAUUUGUGUAAUUGAUUAUCUCUUUCUUGAAAAUUCUCCCCCAAAUUGUUUGAUGACAUGCAGAUCUGAGCCUCCUCCAUUGAAGCGGCUUCUGAGCUUUCUCUCCCUCCAUUGAAGCAGUUUCUGAGUUAAUAUUGUAUUUGUUAUCAUCGAAUGUCAAUUUCCCAUUGAAGCGCACUCAACGUUCUCCAUUGAAUCUACUUCUGAUAUUUCUAUCUUCCAUUGAAGCAGCUUCUGAGGUUAAGUUGUUUUCUUUUUGUAAUCAUCGAAUAUCAAUUUCACAAUGUAGUAUUUAUCGUUGAUUUAAUACUAAGAUUUAUGGGAGUUUCCCGAGGACUGUUUUGCCCCUUUCCUUAAACGACCACCGUUAACGGCGGCCGUUUUUUGCCGGUGAUUUCUCCGACAACCGUUAAAACUGUCCUCAGCUCUAACCAACUGUCUAUCUGUCUGUAAACUGUGACUGUAACUCUGCUGUCUGCAUGCAGCUUGAUCAUAUUAACCACCAAAAAUUAUCAAUCUUUAGAGGCUAUGAUGAGUUUAACUGUUCAAAGUAGUCAAAUUUAAUCUGGGUUUGGAGAAUUUUUUUGAGGUUUUGGGUAAAUUUUUCCAUUUGGCUUGGCAGAAAGAUCAAAGUUAGGGCCCCUUCAAAAAAAAAAAAAAAAUCAAAGUUAGGGCCUGUUCUAUCCAGCUUAAAUUCAGUUCAGUUCAGCUCUAAUUCAAUCAGUUCAGUUGUUUUCAGUUAAUCGGAACAGGCCCUUAGUAUUCAACAUGAUGCUUAGCUUGCAUUUUUCUCAUUUAUUUUAUUUUAUUUUAUUUUGUGGGGUUGGUUCAAUUGGAAAUGAUAUGGGUUCGAUUUGAUUGAUUUGCCGCCAUGGUUGAAUUCCCACCUCGAAAUUUUCCACCUGAUUGUUUGAUGAAAUGAGGGUCUGAGCCUCCUUCAUUGAAGUGUACUCUGAAUUCGCUAUUGAAGCCUCUUUUUGAGCUAUCUCUCACUCUGUACUUAAUUGAGGCGUACUGUGAAUUAUCUAUUGAAAUCAGUUGUGAGUCUUGUGACUUUAGGCUGUUCUAUUCAGCUUAAUAUCAGUUCAGUUGUUUUAAGUAAAUCGGAAUAGACCCUUUGUGAGUUUUCUCUCCUCUAUUGAAGGAGCUUAGAGCAAGGGUGAUAUCAGCAAUUUGAAUCUUAAGACAUAUGCUCAAGACUUUUCCCAUUUUUCAUGAAAAAUCUCAAGCAAGUCUCAAGUCUCAAGUUGAGUCUUGAAAUUUCAAGACUCAACUUAAGAUUUGAGAUUGGGACCCACUUCACCCACCUCACUUUUAUUUUUAUUAUCCCUUUUUUUAAUUUUAUACUUUUCUACUUAUAAUAUGUCAAAUAUUUAAUCUUAGGGCUAAAGUGAUAAAUUUGUGUAAGUCUUAGUGAGUCUUAAUAAGAAUUUGACGACAUCAUUUUCAAUGGGGACCACCAAAAAUGAUGUCACAUCCAAGUCUUAAGACUUGGGGCUAAACUUGCUCUUAUUAGGUAAGAUGUUUUUCUUGAUCAGCGAAUAUCAGUUUCAUCAUAAUCUAGGGUUUAUAGUUGAUUAAUUCCAAGAAUGAGGCAGGGAGAGAUCAUGGGAGUUUCCGAGGACCGUUUUGCCCCUCUCCUUAGAGGACCGUUGCUUACAACGGUUGUCUUUCGCCGGUGAUUUAUCUGGACACUAUUAAAACGGUCCUCAAACCAUCGAUGCCAGAACCUUAGCUGCUUUUAUCUUUCUCUGUGAGCUGGGACUAUGUAAGUCUGCUGACUGCAUGCUCCUUGAUCUUCCAACCUCAAAAGUCACCAACCAUUAGAGGCUGUGAUGAGUGUAAACCAUUCAAAGUAGUCAAAAUUUAAUUUUGGUUUGGAGGAUUUUUGAGGUUUUGGGUAAUUUUUUUCAUUGGCUUGGCAGAAAGAUCAAUAUUCCGAAGUUGCAAAUAAUAUGAUGCGGAGGGUUUGUUUUAUGGUUUGGUUUUGUUUGGUUGGAAAUUAUUUGUCCCAAUAUGAUUGAUUUGCCGCCAUGGUUGAUUUUCCCACCUCAAAAUUCCCCACCGGAUUGUUUGAUGAAAUGUGGAUCUGAGCCUCUUGUUUGCAAAAAAUAAAAAGGAAGCUGCAUUGUUGAAAUUUGGUAAUACUUUUACAAUUUUACAUUUUUUUUAAUUGUUUGUUGUUUUGUGAGUAUAUGAUGUGAAGAUUAUAUUGAUAAAAAGACAUGAACUGUUUGAUGCAUGGAAUUUUGAUUUGAGAAAGUUUUGAAAAUAGAAAUUGAAUCGUAAGUAAUCAAAUUCAAUUUGGGUUUUCUGGGAAAUUGAUUUUCUUUUCCAAUUGGUUUGGCAGCAACUUUAGGGUUUUGUUUGCCACCAUUUGUGUAAUUGAUUUUCUCUUUCUUGAAAAUUCUCCCCCAAAUUGUUUGAUGACAUGCAGAUCUGAGCCUCCUCCAUUGAAGCGGCUUCUGAGCUUUCUCUCACUCCAUUGAAGCAGUUUCUGAGGUAGUAUUGUUUUUGUUAUCAUCGAAUGUCAAUUUCCCAUUGAAGCGCACUCAACGUUCUCCAUUGAAUCUACUUCUGAUAUUUCUAUAAUCCAUUGAAGCAGCUUCUGAGGUUAAGUUUUCUUUUUGUAAUUAUCGAAUAUCAAUUUCACAAUUUAGGGUUUAUUGUUGAUUUAAUACUAAGAUUGAGGCAAGGAGAGGUUAUGGGAGUUUCCCGAGGACAGUUUUGCCCCUCUCCUUAAACGGCCACCAUUAACGGCGGCCGUUUUUUGCCGGUGAUUUCUCCGUUAAAACUGUCCUCAGCUCUAACCAACUGUCUAUCUGUCUGUAAACUGUGACUGUAACUCUGCUGUCUGCAUGCAGCUUAAUCAUAUUAACCACCAAAAAUUAUCAAUCUUUAGAGGCUAUGAUGAGUUUAACUGUUCAAAGUAGUCAAAUUUAAUCUGGGUUUGGAGAAUUUUUUUGAGGUUUUGGGUAAAUUUUUCCAUUUGGCUUGGCAGAAAGAUCAAAGUUAGGCCCUGUUCUAUUCAAGCUUAAUUUCAGUUUAGUUCAGCUCUAAUCCAAUCAGUUCAGUUGUUUUCAGUCAAUUGGAACAGGCCCUUAGUAUUCAACAUGAUGCUUAGCUUGUAUUUUUCUCAUUUAUUUUAUUUUAUUUUAUCUUGUGGGGUUGGUUCAGUUGGAAAUGAUAUGGGUUUGAUUUGAUUAAUUUGCCGCCAUGGUUGAAUUCCCACCUCGAAAUAUUCCACCUGAUUGUUUGAUGAAAUGAGGGUCUGAGCCUCCUUCAAUUAAGUGUACUCUGAAUUCGCUAUUGAAGCGUCUUUUUGAGCUAUCUCUCACUCUCUUCUUAAUUGAGGCGUACUCUGAAUUCUUUAUUGAAAUCAGUUGUGAGUCUUGUGACUUUAGGCUGUUAUGUUCAGCUUAAUAUCAGUUCAGUUCAGUAUUUCAGUUCAGUUGUUUUAAGUAAAUCGGAAUAGACCCUUUGUGAGUUUUCUCUCCUCUAUUGAAGGAGCUUAUGAGGUAAGAUGUUUUUCUUGAUCAGCGAAUAUCAGUUUCAUCAUAAUCUAGGGUUUAUCGUUGAUUAAUUCCAAGAAUGAGGCAGGGAGAGGUCAUGGGAGUUUCCGAGGACCGUUUUGCCCCUCUCCUUAGAGGACCGUUGCUUACAACGGUUGUCUUUCGCCGGUGAUUUAUGUGGACACUAUUUAAACGGUCCUCAAACCAUCGGAUGCCUGAACCUUAGCUGCUUUUAUCUGUCUCUGUGAGCUGGGACUGUGUAACUCUGCUGACUGCAUGCUACUUGAUCUUCCAACCUCAAAAAUCACCAACCAUUAGAGGCUGUGAUGAGCGUAAACCAUUCAAAGUAGUCAAAUUUAAUUUGGGUUUGGAGGAUUUUUGAGGUUUUGGGUAAUUUUUUCCAUUGGCUUGGCAGAAAGAUCAAUAUUCCGAAGUUGCAAAUAAUAUGAUGCGGAGGGUUUGUUUUAUGGUUUGGUUUUGUUUGGUUGGGAAUUAUUUGUCCCAAUAUGAUUGAUUCGCCGCCAUGGUUGAUUUUCCCACCUCAAAAUUCCCCACCGGAUUGUUUGAUGAAAUGUGGAUCUGAGCCUCUUGUUUGCGAAAAAUAAAAUGGAAGCUGCAUUGUUGAAAAUUGGUAAUACUUUUACAAUUUUACAUUUUUUUUAAUUGUUUGUUGUUUUGUGAGUAUAUGAUGUGAAGAUUAUAUUGAUAAAAAAAUAUGAACUGUUUGAUGCAUGGAAUUUUGAUUUGAGAAAGUUUUGAUAAUAGAAAUUGAAUCGUUUGAAGUAAUCAAAUUCAAUUUGGGUUUUCUGGGAAAUUGAUUUUCUUUUCCAAUUGGUUUGGCAGCAACUUUAGGGUUUUGUUUGCCGCCAUUUGUGUAAUUGAUUUUCUCUUUCUUGAAAAUUCUCCUCCAAAUUGUUCGAUGAAAUGCAGAUCUCAGCCUCCUCCAUUGUAGCUCACUCUGAGUUCUCCAUUGAAGCGUGUUCUCCAUUGAAGCGGCUUCUGAGCUUUCUCUCAUUCCAUUGAAGCAGUAUUUGAGAAUUGAGUACUAUGUGUUGGGAAGGAGAGAAUGGUUGAUUAUUGAAAGGGGAAGCUUCUGCUAUUGGCUUGGCUGCACAAAGCCCAUCAGCUCUGCUUGGUUUGCUGCCUUUGUAUUGAGCUUACACCCAAUCAAAGGUGUAUCUAAGCCUGUCUAUCAAACACGCAACCUUCUGAUUUUCACUCCAAAGCUCUACAAGUGUGGAUUUUAUGGGAUAAGAGGGCGAAGCUGAGUUUUGUAUCAACUGGACUUGAGAGUUUCCAGUUGACAAAGAUAGACACGAAGCUUGUGAAAAGAACAAGAUUGCGGUAAUCAGGAUACAAGAAAAGGCCUGGAGGGCUGGAGGGUGUUGCAUGUGCUUGGCAGGGCAGCAUAUGGAAACUCUUAACUUGAGUUUUGCUUGCUUUGCUGCCAUUGAUUAAUUAGUGUCUUUCAUUGCCUGAUGAAGGGCAAAUCUGAGCCUCGUUUCUCCCUUUUUUGAAAUAAAAAAUAAUUGUUUCAGGGGGUGGCAGAGGUAGAGGUAUUACCACUAGUUUCCGUGUGACGUAAUAUUUAAGGCAAAGUGGGGUUGCUAUUACUACUGUGCUACGAUAUCAACUUUACCCUAGAGAGCCUCUCCCCUCAUGGCAAGGCAAAGUGGGGGGUAGGAGGUUUUGCAGCUGUGUACUACACCAUGAUAGCAGAGCGGUAUAUUUCUAUUCACCUUCGAUCAAAACUUGGCACCAUACUAGUGUUGCAUGCUGUAUUGAUUUGCCAGCAAAAUACUGCUACAGUGCUACUAUGGAGCUGCCAUCAUCUUCAAAUUGUGGCAUGGGGAUCAGCCGAUCAGGUGAAAAUAAUGAAGUCUUACUUUCUUCAUGAUUCAGUUUUAUUGGUUCUAAUCUUUUGGAGGAAAAAACUUGGAACGUACCCCUCAUCUGGAUCUCACAUUCGGGGCCUUACUGUUUGCAGCUGAAACAAAUUGGCAUUUUAACUUUAAGCGUUCAAGGGGUGAUCAAGACACCAAAAAGAACAACUCCAACACGAACGUAGCUUAUAGUGUUAGCACCACCGGCUCGUAUCAAAAUAAUCGACUACUCAAGUGGCAGCAAUUUAAUUUUUUGUUUAUUAUACCCUAAGCCUUUUGAAAUUGUUUUGUACUCUGUAUAUAACUAUUUCUCUAUUAUUAAAAUUGCUCAACUGUGUAGUAAUAUUGUUGGUUAAUAAGACAAUUACUCUUGUUUUGCUA